GGGGGUGUUUUUUUGGAUUCGACAGGCAUCAGACCGGGGUACAGCUACAUUUCGGAGGUUACGUCUCCGUCACAAACGUUAACUUAAAUUUAAUUGACAAAAACGAAAGUCAAUCUUUAGCAUUCGCUGCCUAGCAGCAUGCUAAGAUCUGCCUAGUAUCGCCCAUGUAUUAGUUACAGGUCUCAUUGAAGUGGGAUACGUCUUGCGCUUCCGCCUGGAGCAAUAGAAAGAGAAUAAUCAGGUACGCAAGCUAGCAGGUUUGUUUAUUGACCUCUAGUGCGCUUAAUCAACAAUAAACUAUGAGUGUAAAAGCUGUAUUAGCGGGGUGUCUGGACAGGGGUUCGACUCCCCUCACCUCCAUAA
rnacentral:tmRNA from 2 species